rnacentral:lncRNA from 1 species
CUCUCUCCAGUUCUCUCUGCACAGUCUGCAGUAUUCUCUCGUCAACGCAAAGCUGUCGAUGACACCGGCAGAUCAAUCAACAAAGUUUAAAAAGUCUUGUCAGACCAGCUCAAUUAUUAAAUCAAUCACUUAAAAAAGUAAACGAUUUGGCGACGAUCUGACCAGAAUCGAAAGCGAUUGUUUUCGCAAGAUGACGUGUAUCUUUUCAAUAAAAGCAAAUUUCG